GAGACAGCAGCCGCCGCGGGAAUACGGAGGGUGCAAGCGUUAAUCGGAAUUACUGGGCGUAAAGCGCACGCAGGCGGUCUGACAAGUCAGAUGUGAAAUCCCCGGGCUUAACCUGGGAACUGCAUUUGAAACUGUCAGGCUGGAGUCUUGUAGAGGGGGGUAGAAUUCCAGGUGUAGCGGUGAAAUGCGUAGAGAUCUGGAGGAAUACCGGUGGCGAAGGCGGCCCCCUGGACAAAGACUGACGCUCAGGUGCGAAAGCGUGGGGAGCAAACAGGAUUAGAUACCCGCGUAGUCCCUGUCUCUUAUAC
rnacentral:rRNA from 1 species